GCUCGCGCCCCCACGCCUCCACCCCCAUACCCUUUAUACUAUGCAUGCUGGCAAUCAUUAGUGACCCUAAACUGUUCCCGGUUAUGUCUGAAAAAAGCAGGCUCUCCAAAAGCACGGACAAAAGGUUUCACGCGCACAAAUACACUCUCGUGCAGGCCUAAACGCAGAGCAGCUAGCAUCCAAGUCCACCGUACCCAGUGAAGGCAGAAGCAGGUUAAAGAUCCACUUUCAGGGGCCAGGAUGUGAUGGAGAACUUUAUUCCAGAAAUGGACCAUCAGAGCCUAAGUACAAAGGCGUGGCCUGCAUAACUGCUCCAAAAGUAUAAAGUCUAAUUCCGCCGUCACCUUACCAUCUGGUUUGUUGUGCCCAAACUACAAAGGACGACCCUCGAUGUUAUUUUUCUUUUCAUUUCAGGCAUAUUGCAGAUCACCUGGCACGCAGAAAAGUGUCGCUACUGCCAUCCUUUCUGCUGUCGACCUGAAAAGGAGGAAAGAUAAAGGGAGUAAAUGAAUCACCAGUAAGAGCCGGAAGAAAUUAAGCCAUGUGUCCAGAGAGAUCAAUGCCUGACCCAAAGGCUGGAGAGAGAGAGCAUACUUUUGCAAAGAAGAUAUGAGAUAAUCGGUCUGAAACCCACCCUUUCUAAUACAAAUAAGUUUCACUGAUGCAAUGAGAAUCAAUAAAGUCUAGGAAAACUUUUCUUCCUUGCAUUGACCCUUUUCUCCUGUC